UAUGCAGGAACGCCCUCUUAAUGCAGGCUGCAGUUGCACAAUAUAGGUUGGGACCGUUAUUCUACACAUCAAUGGUUGGGAUACGUUGUAGACAGGACUGGUCAAGAUGCUGACUGGCUGGUUCUUUGAUCUCAGAAUCUAACGCUAUGUGGUUCCCAUGCUGGGGAGAGGAGGAGGACAGGACGUUCAUCAUCACACUGUGAGCGAUAGCUGUGACAGUCCCGAGCCCUUGGAGCUAUUCUGCAUGCUGAUGAUGUUCCCACUGGUCUGCUCCAGCUCUGCCUCCGCCUUGCGGAAGAAGCCCCUCAUGCUGGACUGGAAGUUGUUGGUGACGAAGCAGUAGACGAUGGGGUCCAUGCAGCUGUUCAGGCUGCUGAGGGUGACGGUGACGUGGUAGACAAUGAUGUGGUGGGGCAUGUCGGGGUAGAAGUACACCAGCACCUGCCUGACGUGGAACGGGGUGAAGCAGAUGGUGAAGAUGACCAGGACAGUGGUGAGGAGCUGCACGGCCCGCACGCGCCUCUCUCUGCUCUGCUGCAUCAGACUGGAGUUGGACAGGGCACACAUGAUGCGCACGGUGAACACCACAAUGACGACCAAGGGGAGGAAGAACUCGAAGACAGUCAGGACGAAGAGCUUGGAGACGCAGCAGCCCGCGUGUCGGAACGCCGUGGUGAGGAAGGAGUAGGUGACCACGAUAGCGAAGAGCCAGAUGAAAAUGCACACCCCCUUGGCCACGUUAGGGUUCCUCCACUUCCUAGAGGCCUCAGCCUGUACUAUGGCCAGGUAUCUGUCCACGCAUAUACUGGUGAGGAAGAGGAUGCUGCAGUACAUGUUGACAAAGUAGCUGAAUAUAUGCACGUAGGAGCAGUUGAGGCACUUUCCCCCACUGUAAUAGAGAAUGAUACGUGUAGGCAGGGAGAGGUUAACCAGUAGGUCUGUGACAGCCAGAUUGAUGGUGUAGAUGACUGAGGUGGUCUUGGGCUUGGUGCGGAAGCAGAACACGUACAGGGCCAGGGUGUUGAGAACCAUUCCCACCAUGAAGAUGAGUGUGUUGACCACCACCAGACAGAUCCACAGGCUGUAGAAGUCAUUGUAGAGACCCUCGUCUAGAUGGGCCAGGCGGUGCAUGUAUGGCUCUCUGCUCACAUUGGUGUUGCCGGCGGAGGUCGCCAUGGGCAUCACUGUUGAGGUCGAGUUAUCCAGUGACAUCCCAGUAUAGGCAGGCUCCAUGGUUCUGUGGUUGGCCCCGCGGCCUGAAAAAAACAACAACAAAAACAAUAUGGAGUUAAGUGGGUUCAUUUUUCAGAUCAACACAACUAGCCCACACCUAUUUAUCAUGGCAUUUUUAGUUGAGGAAUUCUGAACCAUACACUGAAUAUUCAGGAAAAUAUUCUUGGAAAUCUAAACAUAAACCAAUAUCAUAAUCAUGUUGUAAUAAUGUUUAGAUGGUGUGAUAUUCUCUAAAUACUGAAGACUGCAUCUACAAAACAUUCAUGAACAAAAUAUCAGCCCCCUGCUGACACAAUUAUUUUCCAAUCAUUGUUGUUGUAUUACUUGAUGAGGUGAUCCAAAUAAAUACUCUAACUUGA